rnacentral:rRNA from 1 species
GACGAACGCUGGCGGCGUGCUUAACACAUGCAAGUCGAACGGAAAGGCCCUGCUUGCAGGGUACUCGAGUGGCGAACGGGUGAGUAACACGCGGGUGAACUGCCCUGCACUUCGGGAUAAGCCUGGGAAACUGGGUCUAAUACCGGAUAGGAGCCAUUUUGAGUGUGGUGGUUGGAAAGUUUUUUCGGUCUUGGGUGGGCCUGCGGGCUGUCUGCUUGUUUGUGGGGGAAUGGCCUACCAAGGGGGCGACGGGUAGCCAGCCUGGGGGGGUGGACGGCCACCUUGGGGCUUGGAUACGGCCCCGGCUCCUACGGGGGGGCAGCGGGGGGAAUUUUGCCACAUUGGGGCAAGCCUGGUGCAGCGACGCCGGGGGGGGGAAUACCGGCUUUGGGUUGUAAACCCGUUUUGGUAGGGACGAAGCUUUUUGUGACGGUACCUAGUUAAGAAGCACCGGCUAACUACGUG